GUCAAAUUUGAUAUUGACGAUUUUCACUUUCACUAUUCAUCAGUAAUGAUUCUUGCGAUAUUGCCAAGACACAAAUAAAUGUUAAUAAAUCCGGUUUGCUGUCGUUGUGACAGCCUCUUGUUAAAGGUUAGUCUAGCAAUUGUACAGAAUUAGGUAUUCCUGUGCGCGAAAUACCUACAUGUAUCAUGUAUGCAUAUUUAUCAAAUGAUCAAUGUU
rnacentral:lncRNA from 1 species